GUGGGGAAUAUUGGACAAUGGGCGCAAGCCUGAUCCAGCAAUGCCGCGUGUGUGAAGAAGGUCUUCGGAUCGUAAAGCACUUUCGGCGGGGACGAUGAUGACGGUACCCGCAGAAGAAGCCCCGGCUAACUUCGUGCCAGCAGCCGCGGUAAUACGAAGGGGGCUAGCGUUGCUCGGAAUUACUGGGCGUAAAGGGCGCGUAGGCGGCUCUGUGAGUCAGGCGUGAAAUUCCUGGGCUUAACCUGGGGACUGCGCUUGAUACUGCAGGGCUUGAGGCCGAGAGAGGGUGGUGGAAUUCCCAGUGUAGAGGUGAAAUUCGUAGAUAUUGGGAAGAACACCGGUGGCGAAGGCGACCACCUGGCUCGGUACUGACGCUGAGGCGCGACAGCGUGGGGAGCAAACAGGAUUAGAAACCCGUGUAGUCC
rnacentral:rRNA from 1 species